UAAGUCAGGCAGACGGUCGCGCACCUUUUAGGUGUGAGGAAAGUCCGAGCUUCAUAGAGCAGAGUGCCAGAUAACGUCUGGUGGAGGCGACUCUAAGGAUAGUGCAACAGAAAUAAACCGCCUACUUUUGUAGGUAAGGGUGGAAAGGUAGCGUAAGAGACUACCGCACCUUUGGUAACAAAGGUGGCUCUGUAAACCCCACUUGAAGCAAGAUUGGAUAAGACAACAAGGGUUGCUCGCCCUGUCUUAGGUAGAAAUCGCAUGAGAUUUGUGGCGACACAGAUACGAGAUAGAUGACCGUCCAACGACAGAACUCGGCUUAUCGCUUGGCUUAUGUG
rfam:Eubacterium sp. CAG:274 genomic scaffold, scf3